UACGAAGGGGGCUAGCGUUGCUCGGAAUCACUGGGCGUAAAGCGCACGUAGGCGGCUUUCUAAGUCAGGGGUGAAAUCCUGGAGCUCAACUCCAGAACUGCCUUUGAUACUGGAGUGCUUGAGUCCGGGAGAGGUGAGUGGAACUCCGAGUGUAGAGGUGAAAUUCGUAGAUAUUCGGAAGAACACCAGUGGCGAAGGCGGCUCACUGGCCCGGUACUGACGCUGAUGGUGCGAAAGCGUGGGGAGCAAACAGGG
rnacentral:rRNA from 1 species